AUGAACGCUAGCUACAGGCUUAACACAUGCAAGUCGAGGGGCAGCAUGUCGGUUGCUUGCAACCGAUGAUGGCGACCGGCGCACGGGUGAGUAACGCGUAUCCAACCUGCCCAUCACUUGGGGAUAACCUUGCGAAAGUAAGACUAAUACCCAAUGAUAUCUCUAGAAGACAUCUGAAGGAGAUUAAAGAUUCAUCGGUGAUGGAUGGGGAUGCGUCUGAUUAGCUUGUUGGCGGGUAACGGCCCACCAAGGCAACGAUCAGUAGGGGUUCUGAGAGGAAGGUCCCCCACAUUGGAACUGAGACACGGUCCAAACUCCUACGGGAGGCAGCAGUGAGGAAUAUUGGUCAAUGGACGAGAGUCUGAACCAGCCAAGUAGCGUGCAGGAUGACGGCCCUAUGGGUUGUAAACUGCUUUUAUAAGGGAAUAAAGUGAGAGUCGUGACUCUUUUUGCAUGUACCUUAUGAAUAAGGACCGGCUAAUUCCGUG
rnacentral:rRNA from 1 species